rnacentral:rRNA from 1 species
UACGUAGGGUGCGAGCGUUGUCCGGAAUUAUUGGGCGUAAAGAGCUCGUAGGCGGUGUGUCGCGUCGGCCGUGAAAACCUGCAGCUUAACUGUGGGCGUGCGGGCGAUACGGGCAGACUGGAGUACUGCAGGGGAGACUGGAAUUCCUGGUGUAGCGGUGAAAUGCGCAGAGUAUCAGGAGGAACACCGGUGGCGAAGGCGGUUCUCUGGGCAUUACCUGACGGCUGAGGAGCGAAAGUGUCGGGGAGCGAACAGG